rnacentral:rRNA from 1 species
GAGGAAUUUUGCGCAAUGGGGGAAACCCUGACGCAGCAACGCCGCGUGAAUGAUGAAGGCUUUCGGGUCGUAAAGCUCUGUCAAGUGGGAAGAACUCAUGUGGUGUUAAUAUCGCCACAUGCUGACGGUACCA